rfam:Ictidomys tridecemlineatus contig047227, whole genome shotgun sequence.
GGGGAUACAGCUCACUUGGUAGAGUGCCUGCCUCAAAUGCACAAGGCCCUGGAUUCGAUUCCCAGCAUCACCA